UACACUCCUACGGGAGGCAGCAGUAGGGAAUCUUCCACAAUGGGUGCAAACCUGAUGGAGCAAUGCCGCGUGAGUGAAGAAGGUCUUCGGAUCGUAAAGCUCUGUUGUUAGAGAAGAACACGUGCUAGGUAACUACUAGCGCCUUGACGGUAUCUAACCAGAAAGUCACGGCUAACUACGUGCCAGCAGCCGCGGUAAUACGUAGGUGACAAGCGUUGUCCGGAUUUAUUGGGCGUAAAGGGAGCGCAGGCGGUCUGUUUAGUCUAAUGUGAAAGCCCACGGCUUAACCGUGGAACUGCAUUGGAAACUGACAGACUUGAAUGUAGAAGAGGAAAAUGGAAUUCCAAGUGUAGCGGUGGAAUGCGUAGAUAUUUGGAGGAACACCAGUGGCGAAGGCGAUUUUCUGGUCUAACAUUGACGCUGAGGCUCGAAAGCGUGGGGAGCGAACAGGAUUAGAAACCCCGGUAGUCC
rnacentral:rRNA from 1 species